GAUGAACGCUGACAGAAUGCUUAACACAUGCAAGUCUACUUGAUCCUUCGGGUGAUGGUGGCGGACGGGUGAGUAACGCGUAAAGAACUUGCCUUGCAGUCUGGGACAACGUCUGGAAACGGACGCUAAUACCGGAUAUUAUGAUUGAAUCGCAUGAUUUAAUUAUGAAAGCUAUAUGCGCUGCGAGAGAGCUUUGCGUCCCAUUAGUUAGUUGGUGAGGUAACGGCUCACCAAGACGAUGAUGGGUAGCCGGCCUGAGAGGGUGAACGGCCACAAGGGGACUGAGACACGGCCCUUACUCCUACGGGAGGCAGCAGUGGGGAAUAUUGGACAAUGGACCACAAGUCUGAUCCAGCAAUUCUGUGUGCACGAUGACGUUUUUCGGAAUGUAAAGUGCUUUCAGUCGGGAAGAAGUCAGUGACGGUACCGACAGAAGAAGCGACGGCUAAAUACGUGCCAGCAGCCGCGGUAAUACGUAUGUCGCAAGCGUUAUCCGGAUUUAUUGGGCGUAAAGCGCGUCUAGGCGGCAAGGAAAGUCUGAUGUGAAAAUGCGGAGCUCAACUCCGUAUGGCGUUGGAAACUGCCUUACUAGAGUACUGGAGAGGUAGGCGGAACUACAAGUGUAGAGGUGAAAUUCGUAGAUAUUUGUAGGAAUGCCGAUGGGGAAGCCAGCCUACUGGACAGAUACUGACGCUAAAGCGCGAAAGCGUGNGUAGCAAACAGG
rnacentral:rRNA from 1 species